rnacentral:sRNA from 1 species
AAACACCGUACGCCACCCAACUCCUCUUGUAACGCCAUCGCGCGUGGCAUUGUGUUGGGUUCUGCGUGUGUGGCAUCGGAGUCGUGGAAUUUAGGGGGAACAAGGCUUUUCCCCCCGUCCCCCCGGGGUCUCCCUUGGGUGGGGGCGACACGGCCAAGGGCGGCGCGCCCUGGGGGUGCCCGGGGGCGCUUCUUCCCCAGGGCGUUACGCACCGGCGGCCCGGCGCGGAGGAGCUACUCUCCUCCUGGUGAGGUGGAAAUUCCAGCAAGAAUAAAGGUGAAGACAAGCCACCAGGACUCAGGAGGGAAACGCUGACCAUUAGAAACCUCUGCAUAAGACGUUGUAAGGAGGAAAAUAAAAGAGAGAAAAACACAAAGAUUUAAACAAGAAACCUACGAACCCAGCUCUGGAAAGAGCCACCUUCUCCAAAAUGGAUAUGCUUCCUCUCACCUGGGUUUUCUUAGCCCUCUACUUUUCAAGACACCAAGUGAGAGGCCAACCAGACCCACCGUGCGGAGGUCGUUUGAAUUCCAAAGAUGCUGGCUAUAUCACCUCUCCCGGUUACCCCCAGGACUACCCCUCCCACCAGAACUGCGAGUGGAUUGUUUACGCCCCCGAACCCAACCAGAAGAUUGUCCUCAACUUCAACCCUCACUUUGAAAUCGAGAAGCACGACUGCAACUUGCUGUCUGCUUGGAAAAUUUCACUCACAAGCCGCAGCUUUGCCUGACUCAGUGCAAUCCAAGGCCACCAUCUCUGGUGAACUUCCCUUGACUCCUCCCUCCAGUCACUUGCAGAAAUGCAAAUCCUGGGCACCCACAGGCUGUUUUGGGGCCUGUAUAGAAGCUGUGGGCAGAAACCAGAGGCCACUGUGGUACUGCUGGACUCCUGCAGCCAAAGGACAAAAGGGCGAGACUACAGGCCGUCUGGGCAAACAGAGAGAAGCCACUUUAUUCCCUGUGGAGUGGAGGAUGCUAGGAUGUUGCUGCUCCGGCAGACAGAGGCCUUUCGCUUGAGUCAUCAGCCAACAGACUGAAUGUUAUGGUUUUAGAAACCCAUACACAAAGUUGAGUGGUUUUUUCCAUUUCUAAAAUUUAAAAUGUAUGUAUUUUUAAAACACCCACCUGCAUGUAAUACACAGCUUGUUCAGGAGUUCUCAAACAGCCCCAGCACCCACCCCAUCCCAGAGGCUCAACCAAAUAAAACCAAAACCAAGAGGCUGGGUCCUUUUAAGCACUGGUAAUUUCUACCUGUAAUUCCAGCCCUUUGGGAGGCCGAGGCAGGCAGGUCACCUGAGGUCAGGAGUUCGAGACCAGCCUGGUCAACAUGGUGAAACCCCGUCUCUACUAAAAAUACAAAAAAAAUUAGCCAGGCUUGGCAGUGCGCGCCUGUAAUCUCAGCUACUCUGGAGGCUGAGGCAGGAGAAUCACUUGAACCUGGGAGGCAGAGGCUGCAGUGAGCUGAGAUUGUGCCACUGCACUCCGGCCUGGGUGAAAGAGUGAGACUCUGUCUCAAAAAAAUAAAAAAAGAA